rnacentral:misc_RNA from 1 species
CGCACAUUGCGCCCCCUAGCAUUCUGGAGGGCAUGUCUGUUCGAGCGUCAUUACACCGAUCAAGCCCGGCUUGCGGUUGGGUUCCCCGUUCGCGGGUUACCCCAAAGACAGUAGCGGCGCCUGGGGGACCGUGAUGCAGCGAGCUUUUAGCACGUGUUGCGGCGCUUCUGGGCCCGUCCCAACCCUCUAAGGUUGACCUCGGAUCAGACAGGAUUACCCGCUGAACUUAA